ensembl:lncRNA
CGCGCAUGCGUGCCGUUGGCUCCCUUUGCAGUUCUGGGUGCCCUACCGAAGGUCCUAAAUCCGUCCUACCCGGCGUUAGUGGUGACUUCGGGGCCUUCUUCGAUCGAAUCAGAAAAACUGAUGAGGAGUUAGGAGGAGCUGGCUCGGUGAAAACCGGUGUGAUUCCAGUUUGUCACCAAAGAGCCACCGCCGGAAGCCUGCCCAGUCCAAGGUGGCAAACGCCCAAGUGCAGGCUGGAAGUCGCUGUAUGGCUUACAAUUCCGACUUACAUUGCACCGAAGAUGUAAGAGCACGUAAAAUUGUGCGGUUUGUUUUUCUUAACUUACUGUGAAAAUGUUCAUGUAGAUGUGAAGCUGAGAAAAAAAAAAAAAAAAAAAAGACAACCAAACCUCUGAGGGGACUUAGAGGAGUCUCAGAACUAGUGCCUAAGGUGUGGCAUCUCGGACAGAAUGCCCAGAGAACGGGUAUUGCCCGUCUGGAGAUGAAGGUUCUAGAUCUUAUUUGUACAGACCUAAGGAUGACACAAAGGCUGCGACCAAAGGAAAUGGACAUCCGCUCUUCAGCUGUAAUUCCACCCUCUUCAUAAUUCACACAUAACUAGGAAUCUGAGAAGGCUACCUUCUCAUUGGAACAUAUGGGGUUGCUGGGUGGUGGUGGCAGCACAUGCCUUUAAUCCCAGCACUCAGAGAGGCAGAGGCAGGAAGUUCUCUGUGAGUUCGAGGCCAGCCUAGACUACAGACUUAGUUCCAGGACAGCCAGAGAUACACGGAGAAACCCUGUCUCGAAAAACAAAACAGGAGAAAAAGAAAAAAAGAUAUGGGGUAAGGAACUACCCAGGAGGAGGACCAGUGGGGGAAGGCCUCACCUUGUUUCUGGAUAAUUGUACCUGGAACUUGUGAUACUGACAAUAGUCCCCUCAGCCAUUUGUCCUGAAUUUGAUAGCUAACAACAACUACCCCAUGACCUAAUUCCUGGAAUUAACUAUUACCAAUCUUACCUUUCCAUCCUAUUGUUUGUGUUUCUCUAGAAAACACUAACUCACCAGCGAUUAAAAAAAAAUAAGCAUAACUUAAAAAGAAAGUCUUGACAAUUUUCUCAGCCAUAUACCACUGAGAAGGUAGCAAGUUGGGUAAGGGCCCUUAAGGACAGAGCAGGGAGAGAGGGCAAGAAGGAAAGAGCUUCCCACAAAUUCCCAGUGUCUUUGUGUUGCUGAUAUGUCAUGGUCUUAACACCCUCAAAAAGUGUUUCAUGAUUUUGUUUCUAACAAUGAAAAGGUUUUUCUUCAUUGAUUCAAUUAAAUGCCUAUGGAACAACUGUAUUGUGACUGGAAUGUGACAUGUAUAGUUUAAUAAACAUGUUUUUCUUUUGAGACAGGGUUCCUCUGUGUAGCUUUGGAGCCUGUCCUGGAACUAGCUCAUAGACCAGGCUGACCUCGAACUCACAGAGAUUGGCCUGUCUCUGCCUCCCGAGUGCUGUGAUUAAAGCUCCUGACCCAGCAAAUACAGAAAUUGAAAGCAACAAAUACAGAAAUUGAAAGCAUCUCCCUACCAGAAAGGAUAAAGACAACCAUUUAUUGAUUUUACUUGGAGGAAGCUGAAACUUGCAUUGUUCUGAAAAGCCCUUGCUCAGCUUUUAGAAGCAGCAAAUGACUUCUGGAGGAGACUGACCACAAAGCUGUUCAGAAGCUGGUAAAUCCUACAGAGAGAUCAUGGUUGCAGCUUUCCUGAGUCCUCACCUCUAUUGAGGUGAGCGUUUUUUGGAGAUGCAUCUGCCUUGUGCCACAUCUGUUCCUAUAAGAAAUUCCCACACUUCUGCUAGUAACCCCAAUAAAAGCUCACUGUUUCACCC